GAUGAAGAACGUAGCGAAAUGCGAUAAGUAAUGUGAAUUGCAGAAUUCAGUGAACCAUCGAAUCUUUGAACGCACAUUGCGCCCGGCAGUAAUCUGCCGGGCAUGCCUGUCCGAGCGUCAUUUCUGCCCUCGAGCGAGUCCAGCAUCUAGGUGCUGGGCCCGCCCGGCGUUGGGGCACUACGGGAAGCCCUGUGCUGUCCCCCGUAGGCCCCGAAAUGAAGUGGCGGUCCUGCCGCGGCGCCCCCUGCGUAGUAUAACAGCCCGCUUCGGGACCCGGUGGAGGCCUGCCGUCAAACCUUACUCUCUAAGUUUGACCUCGGAUCAGGUAGGGUUACCCGCUGAACUUAAGCAUAUCAAUAAGCGGAGGA
rnacentral:misc_RNA from 1 species